UGUUAGAGCCGAGUAGUCUGUUUUGACAGGGUGCUGACUGGUGUGUUUACAAUCCCUGAGCUAGGCACAAAAGUUCUCCACAUUCCCACCAGAUUAGCUAGAUACAGAGUGUCCACACAAAGGUUCUCCAAGUCCCCACCAGAGUAGCUAGAUACAGAGUGUCGAUUGGUGCAUUCACAAACCCUGAGCUAGACACAGGGUGCUGAUUGGUGUGUUUACAAUCCCU
rnacentral:lncRNA from 1 species